CCAGCAGCCGCGGUAAUUCCAGCUCCAAUAGCGUAUAUUAAAGUUGUUGUGGUUAAAAAGCUCGUAGUUGGAUCUCAACAGCCUUGAAGCGGUUAACUUUGUAGUUUUACUGCUUUAUAGGCUGUGCUUUUGCUGGAGGUUUAGGGGUGCUCUUGAUCGAGUGUCUCUGGAUGCCAGCAGGUUUACUUUGAAAAAAUUAGAGUGCUCAAAGCAGGCUAAAAUGCCUGAAUAUUCGUGCAUGGAAUAAUAGAAUAGGAUGUCGAUCCUAUUUUGUUGGUUUUCGGGACUCGACAUAAUGAUAAAUAGGGACAGUCGGGGGCAUUUGUAUUCAAACGACAGAGGUGAAAUUCUUGGACCGUUUGAAGACAAACUACUGCGAAAGCAUUUGCCAAGAAUGUUUUCAUUAAUCAAGAACGAAAGUUAGAGGUUCGAAGGCGAUUAGAUACCGCCCUAGUUCUAACCAUAAACGAUGCCAGCUAGCGAUCUGCCUGCGUUUUUACUGUAGACUGGGCAGGAAGCUUCCGGGAAACCAAAGCAUUUGGGUUCCAGGGGAAGUAUGGUUGCAAAGCUGAAACUUAAAGGAAUUGACGGAAGGGCACCACCAGGAGUGGAGCCUGUGGCUUAAUUUGACUCAACACGGGAAAUCUCACCAGGCCCGGACACUGGAAGGAUUGACAGAUUGAUAGCUCUUUCUUGAUUCGGUGGGUGGUGGUGCAUGGCCGUUCUUAGUUGGUGGAGUGAUUUGUCUGGUUAAUUCCGAUAACGAACGAGACUCUGUCCUGCUAAAUAGUUUCUACUUCUCUUUUGAGUAGAAAUUUCUUCUUAGAGGGACUGGUGACUCUUAGUCACACGAGAUUGAGCAAUAACAGGUCUGUGAUGCC
rnacentral:rRNA from 1 species